rnacentral:rRNA from 1 species
CAACUUUCAGCAACGGAUCUCUUGGCUCUCGCAUCGAUGAAGAACGCAGCGAAAUGCGAUAAGUAAUGUGAAUUGCACAAUUCAGUGAAUCAUCGAAUCUUUGAACGCACCUUGCGCUCCUUGGUAUUCCGAGGAGCAUGCCUGUUUGAGUGUCAUUA